rnacentral:rRNA from 1 species
UACAGAGGUCUCAAGCGUUGUUCGGAUUCAUUGGGCGUAAAGGGUGCGUAGGCGGCGCGGUAAGUCGGGUGUGAAAUCUCGGAGCUUAACUCCGAAACUGCAUUCGAUACUGCCGUGCUUGAGGACUGGAGAGGAGACUGGAAUUUACGGUGUAGCGGUGAAAUGCGUAGAUAUCAAGUGGAACACCAGUGGCGAAGGCGAGUCCCUGGAAAAUACCUGACACUGAGGCACGAAAGCUAGGGGAGCAAACAGG